rnacentral:rRNA from 1 species
GAUGAACGCUAGCUACAGGCUUAACACAUGCAAGUCGAGGGGAAACGCCAUUGAAGCUUGCUUCGAUGGUCGUCGACCGGCGCACGGGUGAGUAACGCGUAUCCAACCUGCCUCUGACCAAGGGAUAACCCGUCGAAAGUCGGCCUAAUACCUUAUGCAGUCGUCGGAAGUCAUCUGAUGACGACGAAAGAUUUCAUCGGUGAGAGAUGGGGAUGCGUCUGAUUAGCUUGUUGGCGGGGUAACGGCCCACCAAGGCAACGAUCAGUAGGGGUUCUGAGAGGAAGGUCCCCCACAUUGGAACUGAGACACGGUCCAAACUCCUACGGGAGGCAGCAGUGAGGAAUAUUGGUCAAUGGGCGAGAGCCUGAACCAGCCAAGUAGCGUGCAGGAUGACGGCCCUAUGGGUUGUAAACUGCUUUUAUGCGGGGAUAAAGUGAGGAACGUGUCCUUCAUUGCAGGUACCGCAUGAAUAAGGACCGGCUAAUUCCGUG